rnacentral:rRNA from 1 species
ACAAGGUUUCCGUAGGUGAACCUGCGGAAGGAUCAUUAACGAGUUAAUUGAACAGGUUGUAGCUGGCCCUCAGGGGCAUGUGCACGCCUGGCUCAUCCACUCUUCAACCUCUGUGCACUUGUUGUAGGUCGGCGGAAGGGCGAGUCUGGUUUCAUUACUGUGACUUGCUUGGAAGCCUUCCUAUGUCUUUACAAACGCUUCAGUUUAAGAAUGUAAUCUGCGUAUAACGCAUCUAUAUACAACUUUCAGCAACGGAUCUCUUGGCUCUCGCAUCGAUGAAGAACGCAGCGAAAUGCGAUAAGUAAUGUGAAUUGCAGAAUUCAGUGAAUCAUCGAAUCUUUGAACGCACCUUGCGCUCCCUGGUAUUCCGGGGAGCAUGCCUGUUUGAGUGUCAUGGUACUCUCAACCUUCAUARCUUUGUUGUUAUCGAAGGCUUGGAUUUGGAGGUUGUGCUGGCUUCUUGUCAAGUCGGCUCCUCUUAAAUGGAUUAGCGUGAGUGUAACGGAUCGCUUCGGUGUGAUAAUUAUCUGCGCCGUGGUCGUGAAGUAACAUCAGCUUGUGCUCCUAACCGUCCUUCAGCUGGACAAAUUUACUCUGACAUCUGGCCUCAAAUCAGGUAGGACUACCCGCUGAA